GUCAGUUUGGCCGAGUGGUUAAGGCGACAGACUUGAAUUUAACUCGUUUUCGAGUUGCCUCUUUUCAAGAUUAUCUGUUGGGUUCGCCCGCGUAGGUUCAAACCCUGCAGCUGACG